rnacentral:rRNA from 1 species
GUGCAAGCGUUAUCCGGAUUCACUGGGUUUAAAGGGUGCGUAGGUGGGUUGGUAAGUCAGUGGUGAAAUCUCCAGGCUUAACUUGGAAACUGCCAUUGAUACUAUUAAUCUUGAAUGCCGUGGAGGUCAGCGGAAUAUGUCAUGUAGCGGUGAAAUGCUUAGAUAUGACAUAGAACACCAAUUGCGAAGGCAGCUGGCUACACGAAUAUUGACACUGAUGCACGAAAGCGUGGGGAUCAAACAGG